UAAUAUAUAUAAGAGGUAGAUAUUAUGUAUAACCACCUAUUAGGUGGUUUUAUCAAAUUCGAUACAAGUGCUUACAUCCUUCAAAAUCAGUGUUGAAAUCAGGAAUUAUGAUUUCCACCUUUGUGUUUUUUAAAGUUUGAGUCCCCUAUAUUGUCUUGUUCAAUUUCUCAAAUCCUAGCUCCGUGGAAAAUGUCGCGGAGCUGAGAUGCACAUAGCUUUUUGUAGGGAGCAGAAAGAGCGGCGUCCCUCUACGGUUCUUUUGACCGCUUUGCGUGAUGUUCUGGCUUCUUGUCGACGGCAUGAUGCUGCUCAACGACAUACUUCCCAUUUCGGCAGGGCCGCUGCGGCUUUUUGAUUCCACCAUGAGAGUAGGUAUUUGAAGAAAGCGUUCAUGAAUUUGAACGAAAUGUUCACUUCAACCAAGUGUGAAGAUAGUGGGAUUGGAUAAACCCUGAAGAGUUUUUGAUGCAGGAGAAAGAUUUAGCAUCCGCCUCUCAAGCGAGUGCUGCUGUGUUUGCAGAUAUAUGUCAUAUUCUACUUUUGAUUAUUACUGCACCUAGUAGAGACAGGCUCUGCAAUCGUAGUCCUUGAUGGAUCUAAGUAUUCGCAAACUGAAUGAAAACGCAUUGUGAAGUUCAUAACCGAUGUUCAGAAAUUAUCUCCAUCCCUUGCCACACCUACUUUUCGCAGCAUCGUAUGAAGUCGUUGAAGACUCUACAUAAUAGAUCCGAUGCACCUUUUCGGUCAUUUCAAGUAUGUUGCAGGCACCCCAAGGACUUAGUAAGGUUUUGCAGUGGCUACUUGCAAGCAAUGUAAAUUCACAACGUUUGUUGACGAACUGCGAGUGAAAGCUCAGGGAACCCUCACGAAGUUGCCAUUCCAACUCAAUUUCCAUGAUAGUCUCGAUCGCCUGUUACACUUGGUUCGGACACCUUGCCACCACCUAAUUCAUGCCUUAAGAGUUACACUUGGGUUGGAACACCAGUUACGCUCUUCUGAGCACAGGAUUUCCGACAGCUGCGAGAGCUCCGUUACGCGAGACGUCUGCUUCCUUCCCAAUCAUUGGUCAUUUUUCUUCUCGUAGGCACUAUGUGAAAACCUUGGGAUUAUUAAGCUUGUUCACAGCACUUGGUUGGGGUCUAAAUGUAAUCACAAACCUGACCAAAAAGUAUAAAUCGAAAAAUUGAUUGCUGAUGAGGUUUCCGGUUCCUGAAAAUAGCUUCUGUUGCGUCCUCUGCAAUGAACGAGAAGAACCGGCAGUGGGUGUAAAAUAAGCCAAACCAAAUUUUUCAACCAGAGGUUCAGGUUGAAUCUUCGGGCAGAUAACCGAUUCUAUACUCUCGAUACCAGUGUAAUAGAACCCGAAGCAAUAAUCGACACAAAGCAUCAAGCUGCCGGUCGAUUACCAAAACAUAAAGCAUCUUGGUUAGUUUCUUCCCGAAAUGUCUGCCAUUCUUCAUGAUUCAGCAAAGUUAAGUCGUCAAUGUCUUCAAGAUCCUCCAAUCAGAGGUGCUGAAGCAGUUGGCGCUGUUUGUCUAGUCAAUUGGCGCUGGUCAGUGUUUACAUUUCUUUAAGGAUUGUAAGCAAGCAAGCUAUAUAUCCGCAGUAUCAAGCGUGCGAAACACUGAAUCAUUCGGAAGUGACAAGACUUUCUUCAUUUUGGCUCAUCUCAAGCACAUUUGAGGAUUAUGAACAGGCUUGGACACUGCAACGCAGAUCCUUGUCUCUGAUGCAGAUGAACGUGGAAGCCAACAGCUGAUAAACUCUCGUCGUCCAGGGGGUGCUUCUCCUUGAGUUCACUCCUCAUCUAGGGUCUGGAUCUGGUGAAGUUGAUCCUCAUUCGGCACUGCAUCACUCUUCAGGGCCUCCAAUCGCUUGCUUGUCGCACGCAGUUGACCUUUCAGGGCUUUCCUUCUGCUCAUGAAAAGAACACUCUUCCUCUGAGGAUGAACCUCCGUUGCUUUUCCAGGAUGAGGCCAACUACUGUCGUCAUAUCCUAUUUUCGGAAAAGGGUAGAAUUUGUCUCACGCGCAGAAUUACCAAACGAUGCAUGAGUAUGCUUAUCUCCAGAAAAUUUCGAUCUUAUCGAUAUCCAGCUCCGCUAAGAGAUUUGAGAGGCAACUGUGAGACUGCUGUGCUGCUGAAGAAACUCGUUGGCGCGUAGCUGCUAUCUACCCGCCCCUCCCCCUCACAAGCGAGACAUCUUCCUCCGCAUUUGCCUAAGACUUCCAAGCCGCGGUGGAACGCCCUUGGCGCAGUUCCCAUCCCGUCACUCGUCCGACUCAUCCGAUCCAUGUACACAACCACUUUCGCGUACUCGCUUCCACCAGGAGUGUCUUCUCAUACACGGCAACCUCCGCAACUUUUACUCGGCGAUGGUCGCCCUCCAAAAACCAAACACCAAAAAAAUUACAAAAUUAUGCAUGCUACGAAAAACUUGUGUUGCUACAGCUGCUCCUCAAGUUCAAGGAGGCCUGAUCGACACAUCCUGUCAUCGACCAUUUCGCAUCUAUCGAUGUCACAUUCGGCUUUCAAAUUCGUCUCCCCUCUCGCUCGCCGAUAUUUCCAUCUUCUAUCACCCUCGGCAACACUCUAGGUUCACCGAUCCACGACUCUAUCUUCAGCUUCAAACGCAAUGACAAUCGCAACUCCUACUCAAGUAGACCAUGCAUGCCACUUCGAGGAUUCAAACCCUCGGCGAUCAACCUGAGCUGUAGAGGAGACCAGGUAGUGCCGAUAGCCAAUACUAUUUUCUACCAAGUGAGGAGGCCUACCAACGUAACAAAGUGUGUUUGUAAUAUCUGACAAAUAUUCAACUGAGUAAUACACAUACCUACUACAUUUCCACUUCUAUAUUUUAGUAAACUGUUGAUCUAACUGAUAAUUGGAUUGUCUCUAUGCUACGGAUAAAAUAUCUGCACUAGUUUUGCGUUUGAGCCAGCCUUUAACCACCAGAAAAUGUGAUGUUGAGUUGUCUAUGCACAAAUCAAAUGGUAGACGUAACAUUUUUAGGGUUGAAUAAACAUCACAAGUUCUGAAUAAAGUAAAUUUUGUAACAUAUUUAGUGUCAAUUGAAAUGAGACAUAGAAGUCUGUAUUUUGCAUUGAUUUUGAAUAAACAAACUCUACUUCAUUUUUGAU